CGGAUUGACUCUGCCUCGGUAUAUUCCUCUGCAAGGGAGAGAAGAAACGGAGCUCACCAUGGCCUCAGAGAGUGGAGCUGCUCUGUGGAGCCUUCUCCUCACCUUUGCUUUUCUCUUCUCCUGCUGCGAAGCCCAAGUGGAUCAGAGCCCCGAGUCACUGGUUACUGGGGAAGGGGAGGUCUCCACCAUGUCCUGCUCUUUCACCAGCGCUUUCAAAAUCUUCCAGUGGUACCAGCAGCUCCCUGGGCAAGGGCCGAUUCACCUGCUGACCGUGAGCUCUAAUGAGAAUGUCACUCUGGGGCGGUUCACAGGUGAGCGCUUGGAAAGUGGGAAACGCAGCUCCCUGCACAUCACCGACUCCCAGCUGGGGGACUCAGGCAGCUACCUCUGUGCGGUGGAUGCACAGUGA